ACGGUACACAGCACAGUGCACACUGAAAACACUAUGUAGAAGCUGAAAUAAACCCAAACAAAUUCCAACCUAAGCUAAUACCCGUAAGGUUUUUGCCCUUUAGUAAGUUUAGUGAUUAAACACAACAUAUAAGUGUUUGGAAGUCCAGUCUCCGCACCAGAAGACGGGCAGACGCUAUUCAUGAUUUUUCUAUUUUAAAUUUAUUUUUCUACGAUUCUGAAGUACUAUUGUAGUCAUGAAGUCUGUUGUUUGCGCCAAUAGUUGUUCUCAGAAAUCUUACCGUUGAUUUGCUCACGUGGUUGGUUUGUAUCUUUCCGUCAAAUGUUUGACUGGCAAAUGGGCGUGCCAUUUAAAAGAGGUAACAACCAUGACAAUGCAGUACUAUUGUCGGCAAUGCAGGACUAUUGUCGAUAAAGAAAAGUGUUUCUAUAGCCUAGACAAUGCUUGGACUAAUACACAGUCAUGCAUGCCAAUCCUUGUGUUUUCCUGAGGGUUUUCAUUUUUUUCUUUCGUUUUCGACUUGUUGAGAUGUUAAUAUUCCGAGGAUUAUUCUAAUUGAUUCGACCCAGAGCAACAAGAAGGAUUUAUAUGUGGAAAAAAGGUGAAAUCAAAUCUACCUGUAUUUUGGUUUGUGGCAAUAAAUAGUUUUUGUAUUAUGACAUCAAGUUUUUUAAACUUUGUUAGCUAUAUUUGUUAGAAUUUGUAUGUACAAUCCGAUCACAAAGGAUAAAAAGUGAAUUAGUUAUAUUCUUCUUGUUUUGUGUGUGUGUGUGUGUUUACAGUUGUGCGAGGUCUUGAAAAAUCAUCCACUAUAUUAAAGUGGCGUUGCAAAAAAAAAGAAAUUUAUAGUCACCCGCCGUUUCUAUCUGGUGUGUGCAAUUAAUUGGUAUGAUCAAGUAGAUAAUCAGGGGAUGUCUAUAAGAUCACCAUCCGAAAGAGGUGGCUAGGACCUCUAAAAUAUUCAUCAAUUCAUACCCCCCCCCCCCCUUGCAUCUUGAAUAGUGCACUCCAUAAACCAAGUUUAUUGAUAAGUUUACAUUGAGGUCGCCCUUCUAACAGCCUCCAAAGCUCACGGUGCACCGCGGUGGAGGCGCCAACUUGCAUGUUCAUUCAGCGGGUUGUGUUUGCAAGCAGACGACAUGCCCCCUCUUUCCACAACACUCGGUCAAAAGAUCGACGAGCAUUUGGCACCCUCUUCGACCAACGUAGCAAUUAUCAUUUCUUAAUACCUAUUGUGGAAUUUGGCCGAUAUUCUGAUAUACGACGUCACAAUAAGACUUUACAUUCAUGAAAUGGGAUGUAGCCUAUGUUUCAAUCGAGCGGUAAAAUGUGCGUUCUCUAAUUUUGUUCCACAAAAUAUUAAAAGACUUCAUGGAGGAGGUGUCGUCUGCAACAGUUAUCAUGGUUAUGCAAAGCAAUCGAAACGCUGCCCUGGAUAUAAUAUUUUGUCUCUUUUCUGGAAUUAAGCGAUAAGAAGAGAAAGAGGUGGACAACAUAGCACAUUCAUGAGGACAUUCCAUUCUUUGGCCAGCACACUGGGCGUCAUCCUCGCAAACAUUCGGGUAUUGUGAUUGUUUGACCGCCUCCAUGAUCUGAAGUAGGACCACAGUUGAGCAUAAUAACAGCGCAGAAUAAUAGCACGACUUUUCGUGGUUUUGUUGGUCGGAGGCAUAUUUGAAGAAGCCCAGUAAAGUCUUGGGUUUCUUUUUCUCUCAUUCUGGCUCCCGGUCACCUGUAAAAAAAAGGGAAAGAAUAUCUCUAUUCAGCACGAUGAAGGGGGAAAUUUAAUAAAGUUUGGUGUUCUUCUGUCUAGGUGUGAUGAUGGACUUUCAAUCACAGUGCGCUGUGUCUUUAUGUCCCGUUAUUUUUUACAUGAAACUGUGGAUUAGAAGAUGACCACGAAAUGCGAAUACAAAUACAUCCUAAUUAAAUAAAGAAAAUUUUAUUUUCAACUUCAUGCGCACGUCGAUCUCGAGGGGAGGUGCAAAGAUCAUCUUUAGGAAAUCGUUUUGACCAACUCACAAAAAAUAAAAUACAAAGGAUACUUGUUCACCUAUCGCCUUCAAAGGAGUGAUAAUUAGGUCUUAACCGAGUGCUAACAUUGAUAAAAAAGUGCGGAUUUGCUGAAACUAUAAUCGUCUUGUAGUCUAUCAAGAGGUGAUUACAUCAGUGUUAAGCUCAUUAGACUUGAGGAAAUCCACCGUUGCUUCAUAAUUGAGACACUUUGAAGCAUUUCACACCAUUUGGAAGUGGUGGGGCUUAUCCCAUUUCAAAUACCCAUAGAAGCUUGAGUCGAAAUCCCAUUUUCUGACGGAUCGCACCAUUUCAUGUUAAGAAGAUGAAUCCCCGUCCAACCUAAUUGCGAACUUCUCUGGUUUUCAAGAUUCUUGUUGAUACACUUUGGCGGAGGAAUCGAAACUUCUUUAAUUAUACAUCGGGGUCGAGUUAAGGACAAUUACGAGAUGGGUCGUUGUAGAGGACUCCAUGUUGACAUCCACUGCUAACAUAUGACUUCAGAGUCACCUCUCCCGCCAAGAGUUGUACAACAAACCUCACUCAUUUGACCGCGAAACGUGCACCGUCUGCCCCAAACCGAAAAAUUUGUUACCCCGUGAUUUACAACUUACGAGCAGUGAAACGAGAUCUUGAAAAGAAAAUUGUGAGUAAAACUGAAAAUCAAACGAAAACGAGUGGAGUUUGGGUUCGCAGCCGGUGGUAUUAACUCAAGUUCAUGGAGAGUACAAUUGAUUCUUUGUAGGGUUCUUUUGUAGGAAGUUAUUGCCUCGCGGUUGUUAUCUUUUGUGUAACCUCAAAACACCAUCAAACAGUUAUAUCUUUGUGCCAUUUCAAUUGUAGGCACUCAGUCUAUUUGAUUUCUUGCAGAAAUUCCCCGGCUUUCUUUCGACAAGAAUGAGGAAACAUACAUGCGCUCGAUAAUUGAAGUUUCGUCUGCGUUGAAGAUUGUAUAUGGAAUAAGGGGGACUGAUUUUGUGGUGCGUAUUUCGACUCUGAUUACUUAGCGUCGAGACCCAUUUCGGAUUAACAUUGACCUUCAAGCUUUUAUAUUCGUGCAAUAUCAAGUUUUAUGGUUUUCCUGUCGCCCGUCGGUCGUGAACUUUGCAUAAGCCUGGCUCCCCACUUGGGUGCGACCUAGAAAGGGGGUACAGCUACUCUGAUAACCUAACUUGUGAAAUGUGAUGUGUGAGAAAUGACUUCCUCGAAGGCCAAAAUGUCUCCCAAAUGAGUACCUCGGCUCCAUUUAGCUAUCAGGUUCAAAUACUGAACUCUCCCUCUAAACACGUUCUCCUGUAACUAGUAAUACACCUCUGUUCUUACGAAGUGUUUUUUUUCUCCAAAAACAUUUUCUGUAGAGAUGCAGGAACGGCUCCAGUACUAGAUUUAUUGGAAAGUGUGUUUUGAUUACCGAUUGAGGAUUCUACUUUUUUUUGUAUUCCUUGCUUGACAUCCGUCCAUCUCGGCUAGCAAGAUUUUAAGAGUGGGGACAUACGUAUUGUAAACAGUGCUCUUCAACCACUCGAUAUCUCUGUUGCUUCGUACUGUAACCUCCGUGUUUCUUUGAUUGUUCGAAAGAUUUACUGUUCUCAGCUUGGCUUCAGAAGUUAUCGAUUUUCGUCCAGGGCAGGCCUGUUGAAUGCCUUCGAACAGUGACAAAAUAUCAAUAGACACAUCCCUUUAAAUGAAGACAACAAAGGAAUGAACCUACAUUGGCAUGAUCAAAGAUUGUUAUGGACACCUAGUGAUGUACAGUGCAUACUGUCUUGUCGAGUUUGUGGACUAUUGCCCUGCGAAAAACAAAAAAAAGCAUUUACAUUCUAAAAAAAUCAAUCUUUAGUACUUUUUACUAACUAUCCAUCAACAAGAGUCGCCAUAACCAAUAACCUCCUAUUGAGUUUGAAUACUUCGAGUACGACAGUUUACUUUUAAUUUUUUUCACGAGGAGAUCGCAUUUAAUACUUUUAAAGCAAAUAUUUGAUAUACUUGGUAUUAUCUGCUGAAGAGCUUGUUCUAAAUGCACGAGAAUUUCACCAUGACGUCGCGUAACUUCCGUAACCGUAGCAACGGGAGUGCGGGGAUGAUACCAGAAUGUAAAAUUGCCCUCCUUGGAAGUCCUGGUGUUGGGAAAUCCGCCCUGACUGUGAAGUUUAUUACACGGCGAUUCAUCAAUGAAUAUGACCCAACUCUUGGUAAGUCACGUUUCUUAAUCAUUAAUAAACAGGCAGAAGCCCUUAUAAGAUCUAAUUUUCCAAACAAUAUAAUAUCUUAUCUCUUUAUUGAAGUAAUGUAAGUAAAUCCUUGCGCACAUCCAUCUAGUCAUCUGUCAAUCCACCCAUCCACCAGCCAUGCCAGCAGAAUGAUCAAGACUGCUCAUUAAAGCAUGCCCCUUCAUAUUAGAUGUGCAACGAUCUAUAGUGUAUGGGGUGUGUGUUUGCAGGGGGGGGGGGGCUGUUAAGACAA